AGAAAGUAUCGAUCGUGAUAUCGCUACGAUUCGUUGUCCAUCAUAAUGAAGAUAAGUCUUGACGACUAUGGAGAAAUAAUUGCCCCAUUACUAUGGAAUUAGACGCAAAGAAAUGUGUCUGAUACAACAAAAUGUUUCGUGCUCUUACGGAUGCUAAUGAGGACGAAUGUCAAGAUAAAUAAAUAAUCCGUUGUUUUAUUAACAAGUACAGAAGAAGUCAAAUUUUAAAACUUGCUGUAGAACACAUCUAAAUAUCUUGCCACUGCGGUUAUUGCCCUAUUGCAGAAGAGCAAGAAAAAAGAGCAUUUAAACCCUUUCAAUUGGGGCGAUUUAGUGGCAGGCCACUACAUCGAAGAUGGUACGCGUUGGAUAGGCAGAGAGGAGGCGGGGUUAUAUAUACGCGACCCCCAAUUCGCUUGAACACCUAGAGUAACCCCUCGCACCCUCGCACUCUGGGGUCCUUCGAUGAAUUCACCGAUCCUCGGUCUGUAGCGCCAUCACUAUCGCGCGUAAGGUGUUUCACAGAUCAUGAAGAGAAUACAAAUUUCAAGUCAAUUUCUUAAAUUAUUUAUUUAUAUUAUGUAAUAUAUUUCAAAUUACUUCGUAAUAUAUUGCGCAACUGCGUCUUUUUCGAUAUGCCUCGAGAUCACUUUAAUUAAGAUGACGCAAAUUAUGGGAAAGAUUUUUCACAGCGCGAUUAGAAAAGAGAAAAGGUAUCAAGCCAUGAGAAUAAAUUUCCCAAAGAAU